UACGUAGGUCCCGAGCGUUGUCCGGAUUUAUUGGGCGUAAAGCGAGCGCAGGUGGUCUAAUAAGUCUGAUGUAAAAGGCAGUGGCUCAACCAUUGUGUGCAUUGGAAACUGUUAGACUUGAGUGCAGUAGAGGAGAGUGGAAUUCCAUGUGUAGCGGUGAAAUGCGUAGAUAUAUGGAGGAACACCGGUGGCGAAAGCGGCUCUCUGGACUGUAACUGACACUGAGGCUCGAAAGCGUGGGUAGCAAACAGG
rnacentral:rRNA from 1 species